UUGGAGGGCAAGUCUGGUGCCAGCAGCCGCGGUAAUUCCAGCUCCAAUAGCGUAUAUUAAAGUUGUUGCAGUUAAAAAGCUCGUAGUUGAAUUUCGGGGUCAGUAGGUUGGUCAUGCCACUGGUAUGUACUGGCCUCACUGAUUCCUCCUUCCUGAUGAGCCGUAAUGCCAUUAAUUUGGUGUUGCGAGGAAUCUGGACUGUUACUUUGAAAAAUUAGAGUGUUUAAAGCAGGCUAACGCUUGAAUACAUUAGCAUGGAAUAAUGAAAUAGGACGUUCGAUCUUAUUUUGUUGGUUUCUAAGAUUGACGUAAUGAUUAAUAGGGAUAGUUGGGGGCAUUAGUAUUCAAUUGUCAGAGGUGAAAUUCUUGGAUUUAUUGAAGACUAACUACUGCGAAAGCAUUUGCCAAGGAUGUUUUCAUUAAUCAAGAACGAAAGUUAGGGGAUCGAAGACGAUCAGAUACCGUCGUAGUCUUAACCAUAAACUAUGCCGACUAGGGAUCGGAUGAUGUUAAUUUUUUAAUGACUCAUUCGGCGCCUUACGGGAAAC
rnacentral:rRNA from 1 species